CCCUGCGGAGCCAGGCUUUCUGCUGUGACAGAGGCGAGGGGCCACAGGAGGCAGCAGUCCUUGCCAGAAACGGCCUCAGCCCCCUCCACGCCCCAGCUCACCGCGAGCUCCCCAUGCCGGCUGUGCCUCUCCCUUUCCAGAGCAAGGCGACACCAAACCCCCGCCGGGUCACAUCCUGUCUUCUUCAGAAUGGUCUUUGCACUGCUGCUAGGGACAGGGGCUACCAGAGCAAAAGGACAACGGAGGAGAACACUUAAGCCCAGUUUCCAGAAGCAUCUAAAAACUAGGUUUAACUGAAAGCCAUUAAGAGGGAAACAGCUUCAUCCAACUCCUCUGCCCACCAACCUGUGCUACACGUAUUCCAGGCUCAUCCCACACCUAUGCUGCGUUAGAGUGCAACUCAAACAAUAGGAGGGAAGGGCUCUCAUCCUGCACUAAGCCUUGAAACACAGCACAGAGAAGGCAGGCAGUGUACUUGCAGAGGAAUACUGGGAGCGGUAGGACUCUCACUACACACUCCCUGAGCAGCGAGGGCAGAAUGUAGAGAAAAAGAUUAUACCAGCAAGAUGUCAUGUGAAACCACAAUGCUGGAAAAAAAAACCUGUUUUUGGUGUUUGAAUUAAUGAUCUCAAAUGGAAUAAACAUUAUUCAGUUAAAAACAUUUUUUUUCCCCCCAAAAAUGUUUGAUUUCUUUAAACUCCAUCUGAAAAUGCUCAAC
rnacentral:lncRNA from 1 species